rnacentral:rRNA from 1 species
CGGAGGAAAAGAAACCAACAGGGAUUGCCCCAGUAACGGCGAGUGAAGCGGCAACAGCUCAAAUUUGAAAUCUGGCCCCCAGGGCCCGAGUUGUAAUUUGCAGAGGAUGCUUUUGGCGCGGUGCCUUCCGAGUUCCCUGGAACGGGACGCCAUAGAGGGUGAGAGCCCCGUCUGGUCGGACGCCUAGCCUGUGUAAAGCUCCUUCGACGAGUCGAGUAGUUUGGGAAUGCUGCUCUAAAUGGGAGGUAUAUGUCUUCUAAAGCUAAAUACCGGCCAGAGACCGAUAGCGCACAAGUAGAGUGAUCGAAAGAUGAAAAGCACUUUGAAAAGAGGGUUAAAUAGUACGUGAAAUUGUUGAAAGGGAAGCGCUUGUGACCAGACUUGGGCCCGGUGGAUCAUCCAGCGUUCUCGCUGGUGCACUCCGCCGGGUUCAGGCCAGCAUCAGUUCGCCGCGGGGGAAAAAGGCUUCGGGAACGUGGCUCCUACGGGAGUGUUAUAGCCCGUUGCAUAAUACCCUGGGGCGGACUGAGGUUCGCGC